rnacentral:tRNA from 1 species
UCCCUGGUGGCUCAGACAGUAAAGAAUCUGCCUGCAAUGCAGGAGACUCAGGUUCAAUCCCUGGGUCGGGAA